CAAAGCCGCACUUUCGGCCUGCGCAGGCGCAAAGUUGUGUCGGCGAUUAACGGCUCCGGGCUGGGCAGGGCCGGACCAGGGGCGGGGUAGAAGUGGGGUAGGAGGCGGGGCCUGAUCGUUUAUCCGUGCUGCGCGGCCGCCACUUUGCUUGACUGACAUUUGUGAGGCGUGGUCCAGGCGCCGGUGUCCUGCUAGAGGUCCUGAUGUAUAUUGAUGGUAUAGAAAAACGUGAAGCCAUUUCCUCAUACUCUAUGGGAAACACCCUGGUCGUUGAAUUCAGACGUGCUGGCUCUGCUCUACAUCUUGGAGGAGGACUUCUUCAUACCUAAUUCCUGCUGAGACAGCGUGGGGUUUUGAAAAAACGUGGCGUUGAGCUCCAUCUAGGUUAGAAACCCCGGCGCUGCAGAUUCCUUGCCUGUAAAAUGGAGAUAACGCGUUCAUCACAGAGUUCUUGGGAGGAUUAAGACGAGAUGUCAAAGAUAUUAACAACUAUAUAUACGGAGAAGGCGAUGGCACCCCUCUCCAGUACUCUUCCCUGGAAAAUCCCAUGGAUGGAGGAGCCUGGUGGGCUGCAGUCCAUGGGGUCGCUAAGAGUUGGACACAACUGAGCAACUUCACUUUCGUGCAUUGGAGAAGGAAAUGGCAACCUGCUCCAGUGUUCCUGCCUGGAGAAUCCCAGGGACGGGGGAGCCUGGUGGGCUGCCAUCUA
ensembl:lncRNA